GUGUAUACAAAUUAUGUGUUCACUGGGAGGGGUGGGGCAAAGGGGGGAAACGGCUAAAAUAGUUCGUGUGCUCCAGCUUAGAGGUCGCGUCAGUUGCAAAGAAAUCUGUAAAUUUAAAGGAAUCUGUCACACAUUUUGCUAAAAGUAAAGAAGGUUCACUUAAAAAUAAUCGACGUGCGCACACUUCUCUUUUUAAUUCUUUGAUUUAUCAACAGCCGAUUAUUUUGCUGUCGUUGCGGUUUUUGGCGACAUUUUGUUUUAAUGUGUUUUAAAGACUUCAGAAAACGAUUUAACGUGAUUUUUUGGAUGUUUUUGUGAUCAAACAUCUCUACUUUUAUAUGGAUCUUUUAUUUGAAUCUAGUGUAUAGUGUGAAUGACAGUGUUUUAAUGAAGCAUGAAUCAACUUAAGGCAAAUUAAGGUAAACGUUAUUGAAAGGUGUCUAUACAACAAUUAAUUGCGAUUUCUAGAUAUUAAUAUAAUCAUAUUACACCAAGAAGGAUCACACAAACUUCUCUAAUAAAGGAAUUUCUUGAUGUUUAGGAGGUGAAGACUGUCCUUGGAGAUGAUAACGGUUCUUGGGAUGUAAUUGAAAAUCCCAUGAAGACGAGUUAAAUAUAAUGUGCAGUAAUUAAUAGGUAUUUCAUAAUAAUAAAUAAAUUUAUUGUAGUUGCGAAGCUAGUAUUUUGUGAAAGCAGGGGGUUUAGGACUUGCUAUGGUUCAAGGUUUUCAAAUUCGCCAUGUCCCUCUAUGUCUUAAUCUUUUAUGUUGUUUUACACAAUGUUAUAACGCCUAUGCCUGUUAAAAAAACAAGGUUUGUCCUUUUUGUGAUUGCCUAAUUUAGAAACUAAGCGAAAAAACGUAUUCUACAAGUAUCAUACAAGUUAAUCAAUAUUAAAGCCUACUAUUAUUAUAAAUUUAAAUGAUUACAUGGUAGUUUUAAUCAGUUAACUUCCAGUUAUAGUUAUGUAUAUCAGAUAUGUGGCUUUUUAUUUAAAAUAAUUUUAGCACACUUGUAAUUCUCUUGUGUUUGAGUAAUUUACUAAUAACUAUGAUGCAAUCGAGAUUACUUUUAAAAAAUUUCAAAACUUAUCAAGAACUUUGACAUCAAACUGUUAAAGUACGUGUUAGGGCCGCUUUUACAAACGUCCGUAAACCACGAAUAAAUUUCGAAAAAUAGUUGUUUAAAUUUAGCCUUAAGGGACUUAAAAAUUGGACUAUUGUCAAAGGUUACAAGCAAAAUUUUGAUAUUUUUUUGCUUUUCUGAACAGUCUGUAGACAAGUAAUCAAACCAACAAAACUGAUGUAUUUAUACAGACUGAUCCCGAAAUACUGUGUCUGUUAGCAAUCUGAAUUUAAAUUUUAAAGGAUACCAAUAGUGUACACUUUCAGGUAGCAAUUCAAUAAUUUAAUCUGAUGCCAACAUACUCAGUUUCUCUGGAUCAUUGUGUAUAUUUAGACAAUGUAUUUACACAUAUUAUUACAUCUGAGUAUGUUUAUGAAGAACAAUUCGAGUUAAAUUAAUUUUGCCUAUACAUUCCAGCACGUUAUUAUUUUUUCAAUAAAUUUUUAUUGGAAAGACUUUGUUUCAUUUUAUUAAGGGAUGUUAAAUGUUUUUGUGCUAUUGCAACUGUUACAGAUGCUUUUUUAUUAAAAUGUUUCGUAACAGUGCAUGAGUACAGAAACAUUUAACAUUUAUAAUUCUUUAAAUUUGGAAAAUAAAUAAAAUGUCCUGUUUGAAUUUCCCGCUAUUAUCGAAUUAGUUCGUUCUCCCCGGGUUAGGUGGCGCUUUCGCGAAAAAACGAGGGGUAGACAGAGAGAUUCGCUUCUUCCUCUCUCUUAUUCUAUGGUCGUCCAGUAGUGGUGUACUUGUAUGGUUUGUCAUGCCUCACAUCCGCCAUUAUGUCUUUAGAUGGUAUAGUAGUAAGAUAUCCGAAUUAUACGAACAAUGAAUUGCCCAUGGUCAUUGGGUGUCCUUUUGAAACGACCAUCGACGAUGCCAAGAACUUCUUUUUACGUUGUUGCUACAAGGAUGUGGUUAUUAGUGACAUCGUGCCAUGGAAACGGAAUUGUCAACCGUCGUGUGCAUGGAGGGUCAUAUACAAAUUAAAAGAUCGAACUCCCGAUUAUGUCGAACCAGGUAAAACUGUGGAGGAUUUCUGCAUUCCUUUACCAGAGGGCGAUGGAGAAUUAAACAAAUUAUUUGCUAAUAUAACCGCAAUGAGUGUUGGAAUGAUAGUAGCCACCAAAGGAUAUACUUAUGAUAAAACCUAUGCUUUAGUGGAUUAUGUGCCAGUUCGUUGCCCUUGUCCUACACAGGAUUUUAGUGAGACUGCAAAGCUGAUGAUACCUCGUAUGCAGUCAGUUACAGAGGUAUCCCUUACUUUCGGCAAUAUGACAUUGUAAUUUAAUUAUUUUUUGUUAUUAGAAAGUGAAAUUAAGUUUUUAUAUUAUGUAAUAUGAAUUAAUUGAAGAGUUGUGAAAUUAGCUAAUUUAUUUUGAAUAAAGUAUUAUAUGUUUGGCAAAAUAA